GACGAACGCUGGCGGCGUGCUUAACACAUGCAAGUCGAACGGAAAGGCCCUGCUUUUGUGGGGUGCUCGAGUGGCGAACGGGUGAGUAACACGUGAGUAACCUGCCCUUGACUUUGGGAUAACUUCAGGAAACUGGGGCUAAUACCGGAUAGGCGCUCCUGCUGCAUGGUGGGGGUUGGAAAGUUUCGGCGGUUGGGGAUGGACUCGCGGCUUAUCAGCUUGUUGGUGGGGUAGUGGCUUACCAAGGCUUUGACGGGUAGCCGGCCUGAGAGGGUGACCGGCCACAUUGGGACUGAGAUACGGCCCAGACUCCUACGGGAGGCAGCAGUGGGGAAUAUUGCACAAUGGGCGGAAGCCUGAUGCAGCAACGCCGCGUGCGGGAUGACGGCCUUCGGGUUGUAAACCGCUUUCGCCUGGGACGAAGCGUGAGUGACGGUAAUGGGUAAAGAAGCACCGGCUAACUACGUG
rnacentral:rRNA from 1 species